AGUGAACGCUGGCGGUAGGCCUAACACAUGCAAGUCGAACGGCAGCACAGUAAGAGCUUGCUCUUACGGGUGGCGAGUGGCGGACGGGUGCUGAAUACAUCGGAAUCUACUUUUUCGUGGGGGCUAACGUAGGGAAACUUACGCUAAUACCGCAUACGACCUACGGGUGAAAGCAUGGGAUCUUCGGACCUUGCGCGAUUGAAUGAGCCGAUGUCGGAUUAGCUAGUUGGCGGGGUAAAGGCCCACCAAGGCGACGAUCCGUAGCUGGUCUGAGAGGAUGAUCAGCCACACUGGAACUGAGACACGGUCCAGACUCCUACGGGAGGCAGCAGUGGGGAAUAUUGGACAAUGGGCGCAAGCCUGAUCCAGCCAUACCGCGUGUGUGAAGAAGGCCUUCGGGUUGUAAAGCCCUUUUGUUGGGAAAGAAAAGCAGCAGGUUAAUACCCCGCUGUUCUGACGGUACCCAAAGAAUAAGCACCGGCUAACUUCGUG
rnacentral:rRNA from 1 species